CCUAUGGGAGGCAGCAGUGGGGAAUAUUGGGCAAUGGAGGAAACUCUGACCCAGCGACGCCGCGUGCGGGAUGAAGGCCUUCGGGUUGUAAACCGCUUUCAGUAGGGAAGAAGCGAAAGUGACGGUACCUACAAAAGAAGCACCGGCUAACUAUGUGCCAGCAGCCGCGGUAAUACAUAGGGUGCAAGCGUUGUCCGGAAUUAUUGGGCGUAAAGAGCUCGUAGGUCGUUUGUUACGUCGGAUGUGAAAACCUGAGGCUCAACCUCAGGCCUGCAUUCGAUACGGGCAAACUAGAGUUUGGUAGGGGAGACUGGAAUUCCUGGUGUAGCGGUGGAAUGCGCAGAUAUCAGGAGGAACACCAAUGGCGAAGGCAGGUCUCUGGGCCAAUACUGACACUGAGGAGCGAAAGUCUGGGGAGCGAACAGGAUUAGAUACCCUGGUAGUCCAGACCGUAAACGGUGGGCACUAGUUGUGGGAACCUUCCACGGUUUCUGCGACGCAGCACGACAUAGUACGCCGCCGUCGGGUAGGUACGACGUCGCGAGAGUAAACGUACAACGAGUAAGUAGUACGCGUUGUAGAGUUGCCGACGGACGACGACGAGGGAGGAGG
rnacentral:rRNA from 1 species